AGGCUUCCUGGUUUCGAGGCAGUGAGGCGAGUGCCUGGCAUGGCUGCGGGGAGAGGCGUGCUGAGCUGUGUGCCAGCGUCCACGCCAGGCCCCUGUGGUGCUGAACCCUGAGGGCAGGGCUCGCCCUCUCUCAGACAAACUCUCCCUGGCCUUCUAGAGAAAAGCUUUGAGGCCUCCUGAAGAGUCGCUCUCAGGCUAUUUCCUUUAUGCAAGAAGAGAAUCUGCACAACUGUGGGCUUGCAGGGUGAGGCGGGAAUGUUGUCAAGUGACAAAUGUCCCUUCUGAUUUUAUUGACAGAACAUCCACAAGGCACAGAGGAUGAGGACGCCCUGGAGCCAGAGGCCCCCAGCCUGAAUGCAGACGGCAUGUGCCUCGAGGAGGGGGAAGAAGACGGACUCCUGGUCUCCCAGGCCGAAGACCACAGGACUUCCUCUGGUGGCUCUGAGGCCGGUGUCACCCAGCAGCCUCCCUGUACCACUGCUGCCCUGUCACCUGAGGUCGA
rnacentral:lncRNA from 1 species